rnacentral:lncRNA from 1 species
CAAGUUAUUUGGGCUCUAGGAACUUUUAUCCUGGGAUUACAAGAACCAUUUUGAUAGAAAGGCCUAUGUUCUCUUAGUAGCUGAUCCUAAAUCUGGCUUUUAAAAGAUUUGUCCCAAGCACCACCAUUUGCUGCAGUUCUAUCAAUGAAGCAAGAGGCAAAACCACAAAAAGACUUAAGUCCCUUGAAUUCAUGGUGAGCUGAAGGAAAACAAUCAGAAUUAAACACAGCUUCUUUUUGCAUCCCAGCAAAACUAUCUGAAAUGCUGUUUCACCCACAAUUCUCUGGCCCGUAGGAAUAUGAGUUCCAGUGAUGCAGAUACUACAUUUGGGUGUCCCCAUCUUUUGAAAGAGGGUGAAGAGAGACUGUCUUUUCUGCAAGACCUUUUAUUUUUCUCAGUGUUUUUAAACCCCUGUGACCUUCCCCACUGUUAUUUUCUCUGCCUCCGUCGUUUUAUGUACUGUUCAUUUUAAUUGGGUUAAUUAUUUGAUUGACUCUAGUGUGGGGUUGUUGUUUUUUGGCUUUUAAAUUUUAGCUCCCCGGGGAACAUGGUGUGCUGAAGGGUGGGAUGGGGGGAUAUAAAUAACAUGAAACAGAAUAUCGGAAUAAGGGACAAAAUUUGAGAAGAAAAUCCUAUUCUAACAGGUAUGGCUAGAAGUAGAAACCGAGGAGUGGGAGAGAGGGCGCCCCAGAGGGAGGGCUCCAAGGAUGAAGUCCUAUUAUAUAUCCAAUUACUUGGGAGUAUGUCCCACUGAAGUGAAUGGGGCUCACUUCUAAGAAGACAUAUGCUAGACCUGCACCACAACAGCUCGGAAGUGUCAAUGUGCGAACCGCACAGGAUAAGAAUUCACCCUCAUCAUCAUCAUCUCCAAGGCCACCCGCCGUAUCCUAGCAACCGCUUGCCCGGCCCCCCCUGAGGCGCCCCCGCCGAGCCCACUUUCGCCCUCGAGGAGGAGAUCGAGAGCAGCGAGCGAGCGAAGCCGGGAGGGGCUCCUCGGGAGUUCUCCGAAGGGCCAAGGCCAGCAGGUGAAGAGAGGGGCGGGGCUUGAGCAGCUCGCUCGCGCUCUCUCUCGCGGCGGACAGGUGCGCCGCGGCGCAUGCGCCGCGAGAGUGCUUUCCCCGCUGACAGCAGGCCGAGGCCGCUGUCCUCGUGGAACAACGGAAGAAGCGGCGUCUCGCCUUCCCCCGCCCCCGCGCCCCCCACGCCCUCCUCUCAGGACAAAAUUGGGAG